GCCGGGUACGGUGGCUCACGCCUGUAAUCCUAGCACUUUGGGAGGCCGAGGUGGGUGGAUCACCUGGGGUCAGGAGUUCAAGACCAGCCUGGCCAUCAUGGUGAAACCCCAUCUUUAAAAAAAAAAAAAGACAGGGUUUCACCAUGUUGGUCAGGCUGGUCUUGAACUCCUGACCUCAGGUGAUCCAUCCACCUCGG
rnacentral:sRNA from 1 species